GACGAACGCUGGCGGCGUGCUUAACACAUGCCAGUCGAACGGAAAGGCCCUGCUUUUGUGGGGUGCUCGAGUGGCGAACGGGUGAGUAACACGUGAGUAACCUGCCCUUGACUUUGGGAUAACUUCAGGAAACUGGGGCUAAUACCGGAUAGGAGCUCCUGCUGCAUGGUGGGGGUUGGAAAGUUUCGGAGGUUGGGGAUGGACUCGCGGCUUAUCAGCUUGUUGGUGGGGUAGUGGCUUACCAAGGCUUUGACGGGUAGCCGGCCUGAGAGGGUGACCGGCCACAUUGGGACUGAGAUACGGCCCAGACUCCUACGGGAGGCAGCAGUGGGGAAUAUUGCACAAUGGGCGGAAGCCUGAUGCAGCAACGCCGCGUGCGGGAUGACGGCCUUCGGGUUGUAAACCGCUUUCGCCUGUGACGAAGCGUGAGUGACGGUAAUGGGUAAAGAAGCACCGGCUAACUACGUG
rnacentral:rRNA from 1 species